ACAUGCCUACAACAUAGCAUUAAUGCAUUGGAUCCCAUUAGAACUCCGUAGUUAAGCACGCUCAUGCUAGAGUAGUACUGGGAUGGGUGACCGUCGGGGAAGUCCUAGUGUUUUACAUGCC
rnacentral:rRNA from 1 species